AUGGCCGCCGGCGCCAGGGUGCCUGACCUCGGCUCCGACUUCGCCCAGAAGAUGCUGCACGACCUCCGCCGACGCCGCGAGAGGCUCGGCUUCUCGGGCUCGCCGUCGGCGCAGCAGCAGCGCGCGACAUCGUCCAACGCCGCCGCCGCGUCUCGGGAUGCUUGCUCAAAUUCUCAGAAACCGUCUCCAAGCCAGAGGCCGCAGCAGGCAGCAGCUGCCCCUCGAUCGACUAGACCAGAAGCAACGACGGCACCGAGAUCAUCACACCAGCAACAGCCCAGCACCAGCAAUGCCGUCGCCAGCGCCGCCAGGCCACGGCGAGGGCGCCCUGUCGCCGCCGACGCCGACGCGCGCGCCAUCGUUCCGUUCCAAGGAGGCAGCGCAGGGGACCGCAAGACGGAGCAUGCCGUCGUCGCGAGCAGCGUCGACGUGCAGAUGGCCGCGCUGGCCCUCGCGCUCAGCGACGGCGGGAAGCUCCGGAACAUGGAGGUCGUGGCGCGCAACGGCUCCGUCUUCUUCCGGCAGCCGGACACGGCCCGUCCAGGCGGCGGCGGCGGCGGCUACCUCCUGCCGCCGCCGCCUUCCGGAGGAGGUACAGGCACGCACGCCGGCGAGGUGGCGGUCGGGGUGCAGGACCUGAACGACAUGCUCAUGGCGGCCUACUCCUCGGGCGGGAGGAGGAGGCCCGACGACGAGGCCCGGAAGAAGCUCUUCAGAGGGUCCAUGGACAUGGAGGAGGCGCUGAGCAUGCUGGUCAUGCUCCAGGACGCCUCCAGGUACAUGGAAGGGUCGGGGAGCGGGCUCAAGGGCAAGGAGAACCGCAAGAGCUCGCCGGCGACGCGCUCCGCGAGGAUCGAGGAGAUCGUUGACGAGGAUUCAGAUGCCGAGCAGGCCAAGCAUGCUUCCAUGCAGAUGGUUGUCCACGACAAAUUUCAGAGCCAUCAGAGUACAGACAGCAGCUCACUCAUUCAGUCUGGUUCAAGCGGUUCCAAGAUCAACAGUGCUUCUGAAGGUGAAAAGGAUGGCUCGAAGGUGAGGAUGCCGAGUGUGAUCGCCAAGCUGAUGGGGCUGGAGAAUCUGCCUUCGUCGACGUCGACGACAACGAAGACCGUCGCAGAGCGCAAGGGGACGGAGAGGUUUGUGAAACCUGGAGCUGUGCCAAGAAUGGAGAUCAAAGCAGAUGCGAUGAACCGCAAACUGCCGAUACGGAUCAUAGCUUCAGAGAAGGGUCAGCACAAGAUUGUGUUGGCAGGGGAGUGGAAGAACAGCCUGACAAACUUUGGAGAGUCUGAAAUGGGUGCUGCUGCACUGUCAAACAGUUCAUCACACCCUGCACCUGGUAAUAAUAGCAGGCAAGGAAGGCUAACCAUGAGAGAAGUGCUGAGAAAGAUGGUAGCUGAUGAGAGGAUCAUCCAUGAGGACAAGACGGCUGCCGAAGAAAUCAAACUGCAGAACUCUGUCGACGUCGGGUGCCGCGCCGACUCGGGCAAGAGGAUGGAUUUUCUGAAAAGAUUCAGGAAGAAUUCAGACAACAGGCCUGUUAAGGAGGAGAAGCACACUGCUCAGGUCAAGAGUGCAGAAGUUGAAAAGAAGCAGGCCACGGGCAUGAGACGGUUGCUGGGGAGAGACGGCGAGGCAAAAUCGAGGAAGGCGAGGGAGAAGGUUAACAAGGAGAACCUUGCCAGUGCAGAAGCCAAGGCUGCAGGGAAGAAUGGGAAGACAGAUCAGGUCAAACAUCAAGCACAAAGUAAACAUGUAGACAGACAAAGCAAGCCGAGGAAACCGCAGAAUCGUCGGGAAAUGCAGAGCGAAACGCCUAGUCGGAAGUUGGAAAACAAGAAGAAGUCACCGAUGCCAGAAGCAGGGCAUAUGAAAAAGAAGCCUGAGUAUACUGUAGUGACACACACACAACAGGAGAGUGAAGAACAUGCAAAAAAGAAUGAUACUAUCAGUUCUACCAAACCAGCAGAUAGUGCACGCGGCGAAGACGGUAUGUCGGAACCAUUGGCAAUGGUAGUGAGAAGUGGCACCGCAGCUGGAGCAGCUUCCUUGGACCAACCUGCACAGAAUAAAACUGAAGGAUCUGGCAAACCAGCAGAUAGCACACAUGGUGAAGACGGUUUGUCAGAGCCAUUGGCAAUAGUAGUGAGAGAUAGCAGCACAGCUGGAGAAGCUUCCUUGGACCAACCUUUGCAGGAAGUAACUGAAGGAAGUUGUGAUCCUACUCCUACAAUUCCUGUACAGACUGUUGUUAUGCAGGCAAGUGAGGAUUUGGAGCUCUUGGAUGAGAGUGCGAUUGCUCAGAUAAAUGAUGAAAGGAUCAACCCCACACCUAGCGAGAGUACAAAGAUACCUGAAAUAUUUGCCGAGGAAGAACAGCAGCAGCAACAAAUGAUAGUGAAAGAGCAACUAACGGAUGGUACCCACAUUCUAGGAACUGAAGGAACUAGUGAUCCUACUCUUACAACUCCUGCACACAAUGUUGUACAGGCAAGCGAGGAUUUGAAGUUCUUGGAUCAGAGUGCAAUUGCUGAGAUAAAUGAUGAAAGGAUCAACCCCACACCUAGUGAGAGUACACAGAUACCUGAAACAUUCACCGAGGAAGAACAACAUCAACAGCAGCAGCAGCAAAUGAUAGUGAAAGAGCAACUAACCGAGGAUUUGAAGUUAUUGGAUCAGAGUGCGAUUCCUGAGACAAACGAUGAAUGGAUCAACCACACACCUAGUGAGGGCACACAAAUGCCUGAAACAUUUGCCGAGGAAGAACAACAGCAGCAACAACAAGAACAAGAACAACAAACGAUAGUGACACCGGAAGCAUUUACCGAGGAGGAAGAACAGCAGCAACAAAUGAUAGUGAAAGAGCAACUAACUGAAGGCUCUGACGAUCAUACCACAGCGUCCAUCAGUUCUGAAAAAUUGCAGGACCAGAAGACGCAUGUCAUUACAUGCGAUUCUUUGACAGAGAACCAGCUCCUGCUCAUGAGACUGCUGGUGAAGGAUCGGUACUUGCUGGAAACCGCAAAGGCGAUCGUCAGAGUCGAUGCUCCCGUCAGUUUCAUGGACGACGACGACGGCGCGCGGAACUGGUCGGACAAGGGCAACGAUCUCCUCUCCGACGUUGCCCGGGAGGUGACCAGAAGGAAAGGCAAACGGAGCGAGGCCAUGGAGGAGGUCAGCGUGGCGCGCACCGCCAACCUGAGGCUGCGUUACCUCGACGAUCUCGUCAGAGAGCUGGACGGUGACGUUGAGAGCCUGGACAUGUCCAAGCGCAAGAGAACUCAGCAGCACGGCGACAAUCGCGCGGCCGAAAAUCUGCGCAGGAUACUUGAGAGUGACAUUCAGAAUGAUCACCCCGACGCCAACUCGACGUGGGAUUUCGGGUGGAACCGCGUGUGGGAGCUGCCGUUGGAGAAGGGCGACGUCGUGAGGGAUCUGGAGAAGAACAUACUGGGCGGCAUCAUCACCGACGUGGCGAGGGAUCUCAUCGGGGUAUCGGUGCGACAUGGCUGUUGUCCCUGCGUGGCUUGA
rnacentral:rRNA from 1 species